AAAAAAAAAAAAAAAAAAUCAUGUGCCUUGGCAACAUGCCCCCCUUUUCCUCCCCAGCACCAACCUCUUCUUGCUUUCUCUUUUCUCUCUUGAUGUAAGCCCUCCCCCCUUUUCUUUUCUAAUUGUCUUUCUUUGGCUGGUUUAAGAUGAAGACAAACUUAUUAUUACUAUUUGCAAAUUUAAUAAGUUCAAAAAAAGUGUUGGUGUAAAACAUAUAUAAAUAAAAUUGGGAUUAAAGGUUUGAAGGGAUAGUGGGAUCGACUACGAGAGUAAAAGAGUGUGUGGGCAGUAGAAGAAAAGAGGUGGCGUAUGUGAGGUCACUUUUUUUUUUUCCUUCAAAUAGUCCACAUGACCAUUGGUGUGACAAGUAAAGAAAUUUUAUAUUAUUUCAAUCCAUAUUGGCAGUUUUGCUUGCCAAAAAAGUGCAAAGGUGCUUGAUUGCUAAUUUUUACCUAGUUUGGGUACUUGAUUGAACAAAAAGAAGUUUAAGCACUUCAACAGAAAACCCCAAACUUGAUUAAACAAAAAAUAAGUUUAAGCACUUCAACAGAAAACCCCAAACUUGAUUAAACAAAAAAU
rnacentral:misc_RNA from 1 species